rnacentral:snRNA from 1 species
ACUGCUUCUCAGUCCUUUGGCUAAGAUCAAGUAUAGUAUCUGUUCUUUUCAGUUUAAUAUCAGGGUCACAUCUUGAACCCUGGCUUCAUUUUCCAGCUUCAUGUACCAGGUUCCAUGCUAACAUCUCUU